AACUCAAGAAACCAUAAAUAAUGAACUUCAAUACUUUUCUGUCUUGAUUGAACCAUAAAUGACAGCGAUGUGACUGGCUAAACAAACAAAUGACAAGUAUGGCUGGAAAUGCAAAGUUUAAUGGAGACAAAAUGGAGGUCUCACCCACUUUUUCACAGCCUCUAAAAACUAUUCAGACAAAACAAUCCUAGAACUACUUUCCUCCACUGAUCUUAAGAUUUGAUAUAUUUGAUACUGACAUAGUCAAAACUCUUUUUUUAACCAGGAAAAAUUAAGCUAAAUAAUUUGGUUUUGGAUAUAAAUAGCUUGACUCAACCAGUGAAUACUGAACUGUGUUACUAUUGAACAUACUGUAUGUUUGUAUGCUAAGUCCUUCAUAUAUUUUAAGUUGUCAUUUAUAUAUUUAUUGUCAUUUCUCUUUCCUCGUAGGCUCAAGUGAAACAUGCGUGCUGAGGUUCCUUGAGCUUCAAAGAAAUCUCGGACUAAAUCACUCACCAGGAAGCGGCUAUUGUAUUGGCCUGCAGGGUUGAAGGUUCAAUUCCCCAAACAGGUUAAAGUGAGGAGCAGAAGAAACCAAACUACGCUGGGAAAGAGAAAGAGAGGUGUGUUUUCUUUGUGCUGAUUGGCCAGCUGAUUGUGUCGCUUUGUUUGUUUACUCAGUAAUGAGCCAGUCACAUGGCUCAGUGGAGGCGGCAGGCCGCUGGGACGGUAAUUAGGUGGAAAACGGAUAAUGUGUGUGAUGUGAAGCAGCUGGUUGUCCUGGUCAACAGAUUAUCACAGAGACUCUUCCUCAAACUGAUCACAUGUAGAAAAAGUGAAAUUGUGAGAAUCCAGCGGUGACAGGUGAAACAAGACAUUUGAAUACAACUUAACAUUAUUAUGGGUUUUCUGACAUCUUAUAGACUGAAUGAUUAAUCAAUUAACAGAGAAACAGCAGAUCAUUAGUAAUCAUUAGUAAUUCCCAGACAGUCACAUAUUCACAUUAUUACUGAUAGAAAUGAUGUGAAAAAAUAUGACCCAAGUUGUAAUUAUUUUGUGUGACGUGUCCCUUUAGUUUCCUUGUUACAGUUCAGGCAGCAGCUGAUGGAUUUCACAGGUUUGGCUGCACACACACACACACACACACACACACACAAACACACACACCGGCUGUACGUGUUAAAUAAAUUUGUCGUUUUCCGUCGGUCUGUCCAGCAUCCUGCAGCUUUCAUUAUCACAGACACAAAAGCAUGCGAGCUCCUCCGUCUGCAGAGACGUCAUUAUGUUUGUUUCCAUCUGUAAACCACAUCAGGUGCUGAAGCUUGUGAGAGCAGAAAGAGACAAAGGUUCAGAGUUGUGCUAAAAGGUUCUUUUGUACUUUCUGCAGCUGCAGAAAUAUCAAACCGGACGCUGCUGUCAGUCUGUCGGUCUGUCUGCUCCAACAGGCCUGGGCCUCGUUUCCUGAUUACAAUCGAUCUUAGAAGUUCAGAGAGUUUCUCAAAUUUCUGCACGUGUUUCCUGAAGCAGAUCAUCACAACGAGUGCACGUUAAAAGGGACAUAUUCUGCUUUUUGUGAUUUUCUGUUAUUUAUAUACUGUCAUGAAGUAAAAUAUGGUCAAAGUUCAGAAACUUGAGGUUGAUAUAUGUAGAAAUGCUGCUAGCAAGAUAAAAGUCUUGAAACAUGAGAAUCAAGUAGAUAUCUUUCAACGUUACAGUCUUUUUAGUGCCAAAGUAAACUUUUUAUCAUCUCUUUAUUGUCUUUCUUUGCCUUUGGCCGCCAUCUUUUUGAGGUCAGAUCUGUUAUUGUACUGCUUUUGCUUUGUCUGUCAAAGCACUUUGUAAACUUUGUUUUUAAA